rnacentral:rRNA from 1 species
GAAAUGUGAUACGUAAUGUGAAUUGCAGAAUUCAGUGAAUCAUCGAAUCUUUGAACGCACCUUGCGCCCUUUGGUGUUCCGAAGGGCACACCCGUUUGAGUGUCGUGACAUCCUCAAACCUUCUUGGUUUCUUGACCAGGAAGGCUUUGGACUCUGGAGUUUCUUGCUGGCUUUCCUUUGUUGAAGCCAGCUCCUCUAAAAUGAAUUAGUGGGAUCUGCUUUGCCGAUCCUUGACGUGAUAAGAUAUUUCUACGUCUUGGGUCUCGCACUGUUUGCUCUGGAUCUUGCUUCUAACUGUCUUAUACAAAGACAAAUCGUCGAGUGACUACCACUUGGCCCACAAAACCUUGACCUCAAAAUCGGGUGAGACUACCCGCUGAACUUAAGCAUAUCAAUAAAGCGGAGGAAAAAGGAACUAAACAAAGGAUUCCCCUAGU